GGACCUGUAUUCCCCCUCAUCCCACAGUGACUCCACAAGGCCUCCUGGAGGCCCUGAACCCCAUCCUGUGCUCCAGGAAUGCCGUGUCUCACCCCCAACACCUUGGGAUGAGCCCUCCGGAAGCCUUGGACCGGGAGCGACGUCCUGGCGGGCGCAGCUUCCCCGGAUCCCGACGCCAGCUGUGCCGCCCGCGGAUCCGUGGCCGGGAUCACCUCCGUGAUGAUCCUCACGCCGCCGGAUUCCGUCACCGUGGUGGCCGCCAUGGCCUGGGAAGGAGCCCGGGAAGCUCGAGGGACACCCAGGUGUUCCUGCUUCCCACGGGGCUGUUUCCAUGGCGAUUCUGGAAGGAAAGUCCUGUUUCCUGGGAUGAAUCGCAGGAUUUUUUUUGGCUUUUAUCCACGUGGCAUUCCCAGGAAUCACAGCACAGGUGCCACUGUGAACACACCAGGGACAGCUGCACCUGAACACCGGGAUACUCUGGGAAAACUGACUCUGAUCCCGAGGAGGGAGAGGACGAUUCCCAGCCUCUUUCCUGGGAAGCUGCCGCCCUGGGAAAACACAGAUGGAUCCACCAGCUUGGCUGAAGGUUGGAAUGGCUUCCUGGUGGUCCCUGUGGAGCUGGGAGAAGCUGGGAUGCUCCGGAGCAGUAAUGGAUUGUGGACACGGGGGAGCCACGAGCCCGGACCGAGCGUUUAUUCCCAAGAUAAAACCAAGCCAACGCGGGACGAGCCGAGGUAGAU